GCCCUGCUCUCCUAACAAGGUAAAGAGCUGGGCUUUUCCCACCCAAUAUGGCAGUCAUCUGAGGCUAAUGCAGCCUCACAGGAGCGUGUUUAUAUCUGUGUGUGUGUGCGUGUGCGUGUGCAUGUGUGUGUGUGUGUGCGUGUGUGUGUUUGGUUAUUAUGAACAGUUCCAAGUACAGCGUCUGAGAAAAAGCCAAGUCCUCAGGUCAGAGAGAAUAGAAUAGUAUCUGGUACAACAUGUGACCUUAAACUAACUCUGUGUUUUCUGCUGUCUUUCAGUGUGCAAGCUGGGCAUCCAUAAGAAGUGUGAGGUGAAGGUCCUCGCAGAUGCAUGUGUGGCACCUACCGGAUCACCUACCAAGCCGCCGGCGACUCCUCAGCUGCCGUUGAAGCAUGUAGAAACUCCGGUAAGUCUCUCUCUUUUCAUACUUCUGUGAUGUUGAUGAUUGGUAUUUGCAACAGUUAUCAGCCUAUACAUCAGGAGGCAUGUUACAGAAGCUCUGGCUUGUCUGGGCAGUGUGAUGUACUGUAGUGUCAGAGGUGUCCUAAUUGUAUGGAGGUGACCCCAAAAUAGUUAUGCUUGACCCCUUGGCUGUUCAGACGUGGGAUCAACUCCAAAAAGCUCGUGGACAGUUGUGAUGUUGUCAGACUAUUUUCACGGAGGUUGACGUAAGGACACUAUUAAAACACCCCCUGGAGGCAGAGAACAUGGAAAGCACUGCAGUGUCUCCCACCUCAGUGGCUUACUCUGUUUCAGUGUACGUUGUUGAGCCAUACUGUACUCUACUGUAUGUACCCAGUAGACAUGAGUCUGUGAAUGCAGACGUCACCCAGACCUGGACUACAGCUGUAAAUGUUUGCUGCUGACAGACAGACUGACUGACUGACUGACUGACUGAUCAAUCUGUGGAUGGAUGGACCCUGUGUUAUUUAGGAUGCAGUUACCUUAUAUGCACUUGUAGCAUCUUUACACACAAACUGUACACAUACCUAUAUUUAGGGGAGAAUGGGGUAAAUUGAGCCAUUUUUUACUUUUCAGCAUCACUCCGUCAAGAGAAAUAUAGGAUUCUUUCUAACAAAGAUUUCUACAUAUAUUUCAGGAUGUUGUGUAUCCCUGGGAAUAAUCAGAAUUCAUGUAAACGUUACAGUUUUGAAAACAUAGGUUGUCUGAAAAAAGUGGUCUCUUGACACAACCUACCCCGGGUUUGGUGUAAGUUGAGCUGUGGGACUGCCUACAAAUAUCUGUACUUACUGAAAUAUUACCACAACCAUUUUAAAACCAUGUCUAUCUUUAUUUUCCAAACACAAUCACAAUCACUUUGUCUUUUAAUAAUCUUAAGGAUAUUUUAACACAGGCUUAACUAGGAACAAAAACAUUCUACUUUUUAUGAAACAAUAUUAACAUAGACCCUGUUGUUACAGUACCUCAUCUCAGCGACAAUGUCUUUGCAUUACCCCUGGGAAGAAAACACUUCAAUUGGCUCGACUUGCCAUUGGCUCAACCAUUAGCUCAACCAUUGGCUCAACCAUUAGCUCAACCAUUGGCUCAACCAUUAGCUCAACCAUUGGCUCAACCAUUAGCUCAACAUUGGCUCAGCACCAUUAGCUAACCAUUGGCUCACCAUUAGCUCAACCA
ensembl:lncRNA